GUGUAUAGAGGUGGUGUGUAUAGAGGUGGUGUGUAUAGAGGUGGUGUAUAUAGAGGUGGUGUGUAUAGAGGUGGUGUGUAUAGAGGUGGUGUGUAUAGAGGUGAUGUGUAUAGAGGUGGUGUAUAUAGAGGUGGUGUAUAUAGAGGUGGUGUAUAUAGAGGUGGUGUGUAUAGAGGUGGUGUAUAUAGAGGUGGUGUGUAUGGAGGUGGUGUGUAUGGAGGUGGUGUGUAUAGAGGUGGUGUAUAUAGAGGUGGUGUAUAUAGAGGUGGUGUAUAUAGAGGUGGUGUGUAUAGAUGUGGUGUGUAUAGAGGUGGUGUGUAUAGAGGUGGUGUAUAUAGAGGUGGUGUAUAUAGAGGUGGUGUAUAUAGAGGUGGUGUAUAUAGAGGUGGUGUGUAUAGAGGUGGUGUAUAUAGAGGUGGUGUGUAUAGAGG
rnacentral:lncRNA from 1 species